rnacentral:rRNA from 1 species
GAUGAACGCUGGCGGCGUGCCUAAUACAUGCAAGUCGAGCGAACAGACGAGGAGCUUGCUCCUCUGACGUUAGCGGCGGACGGGUGAGUAACACGUGGAUAACCUACCUAUAGACCGGGGUAACCUCGGGAAACCGGAGCUAAUACCCGAAAAUAUAAUUAACCCCAUGGUUCAAUAGUGAAAGACGGUUUUGCUUGUACCUAUAGAAGGAUCCGCGCCGCAUUAGCUAGUUGGUAAGGUAACGGCUUACCAAGGCAACGAUGCGUAGCCGACCUGAGAGGGUGAUCGGCCACACUGGAACUGAGACACGGUCCAGACUCCGACGGGAGGCGGCAGUAGGGAAUCUUCCGAAAUGGGCGAAAGCCUGACGGAGCAACGCCGCGUGAGUGAUGAAGGUCUUCGGAUCGUAAAACUCUGUUAUUAGGGAAGAACAAAUGUGUAAGUAACUAUGCACGUCUUGACGGUACCUAAUCAGAAAGCCACGGCUAACUACGUG